AGUGAACGCUGGCGGUAGGCCUAACACAUGCAAGUCGAACGGCAGCACAGUAAGAGCUUGCUCUUACGGGUGGCGAGUGGCGGACGGGUGAGGAAUACAUCGGAAUCUACUUUUUCGUGGGGGAUAACGUAGGGAAACUUACGCUAAUACCGCAUACGACCUACGGGUGAAAGCAGGGGAUCUUCGGACCUUGCGCGAUUGAAUGAGCUGAUGUCGGAUUAGCUAGUUGGCGGGGUAAAGGCCCACCAAGGCGACGAUCCGUAGCUGGUCUGAGAGGAUGAUCAGCCACACUGGAACUGAGACGCGGUCCAGACUCCUACGGGAGGCAGCAGUGGGGAAUAUUGGACAAUGGGCGCAAGCCUGAUCCAGCCAUACCGCGUGGGUGAAGAAGGCCUUCGGGUUGUAAAGCCCUUUUGUUGGGAAAGAAAAGCAGCAGGUUAAUACCCCGCUGUUCUGACGGUACCCAAAGAAUAAGCACCGGCUAACUUCGUG
rnacentral:rRNA from 1 species